rnacentral:lncRNA from 1 species
CCUCUCUCCACCGCCCCUCCCCACGUACUCGCGCUAUUUUGCGUCUUACGCUCGUGGGAAGGCCACCCACCCGCCCAAGAGCGUUCCUACGUUAUUUUCCUCCUCCCUCGGCUCUCAUUGACUUCCUGUGCUUCACUUCCGGUCCUUCAAGCUCACGUUUACUUCCGGCCCUUUUCCUUUAUUCUUCCGACAGAAAGCUCCGUGUCUGUCGGCACUUAGAGUUUUCGGUUCCCGCGAGGGGCGGCCUCGUAGCCGGUUGUGAAGCGAGGUGGGCCGGGACCGCGCGGCCCCAGGGCGGCGGCCUCACACUCGCCAUGGUGAGUCGUGUGGGUGGGUGGACGGGGACGGAGGGGACCAGCGGCAGGUCGCGAGGGCUCCCGGCGUCGGAGUUCGGCCGUGCACAUUUGCGUGGGUUUCAGGCUCCUUAGGCGUAACCCGGGACUCUCCUCCUCCUGCCUCCUGUGGAGGCUGGGAGAGAAAACGGAGGCCACCUCGGGGGGUGUCUUUUUUUUUUUUUUUUAAUUUUUUUGUUAUCUAUUAUUGAACCCACGGGCCCUUAACCACUGAGCCACAUCCCCAG